GGGCUCGACUGGACUGGAGGCUGAACUGGGCUCGACUGGACUGGAGACUGAACUGGGCUCGACUGGACUGGAGACUGAACUGGGCUCGACUGGACUGGACUCGACUGGGCUGAAACCUGAACUGGGCUCGACUGGGCUGGGCUCGACUGGGCUGGGCUCGACUGGGCUAGAACCUGGACUGGAGACUGAACAGCGCGCGGCUGGACUGGAGACUGAACAGCGCGCGGCUGGACUGGAGACUGAACAGAACACGGCUGAGCAGGGGACCACGGAGACAGGGGGCCGCACGAGAGCAGGAAAUCCUCCCAGCGGCGUAAACGUGGGGCUGGGCAGGUUGGUGCAAUCAUGACGGUCUGACGGGGCUGGGCGGAGGAAACCGAAACCAUCGGCGGUGCAACCGGGGCUGGCGUGGCCCGAGCGGACGACGUGGAUGCGGGUGUGGUGUCGAGUGCGCUGCUUAGCUCCUCAAGCCGCGCGCACAAUUGUUCGUAGAGGCGGCGGACACUGGGGAUUUCUAGUACGCCGUCCUCGUCCUCCAAGGACCACACCGCCACCUCUACGGCGCUGCGCUGGGUUUCCGGGUUGGGCGCCCUUCGGUAAUCCUCCGCGAGGAUCGAAAAAUACCGACGGAGGUCGCUGGGUAGCUCGGCGCAUGUAAACUUCAUUUCCCCGCAGGUGAAAUGAGACUCGCCGCCAAAAA